UACGGGGGGCAAGCGUUGUUCGGAAUCACUGGGCGUAAGGGUGCGUAGGCUGCACGGUAAGUCAGAGGUGAAAUCCCGGAGCUCAACUUCGGAAUUGCCUCCGAUACUGCCGUGCUUGAGGACUGGAGAGGAGAUUGGAAUUCACAGUGGAGCAGUGAAUGCGUAGAUAUUGUGAGGAACACUAGUGGCGAAGGCGAAUCUCUGGACAGUUCUGACGCUGAGGCACGAAGCCAGGGAGCAAACGG
rnacentral:rRNA from 1 species